UACGGGGGGGGCAAGCGUUGUUCGGAAUUACUGGGCGUAAAGGGUUUGUAGGUGGCCCGCUAAGUCACACGUGAAAUCCCUCAGCUUAACCGGGGAACUGCGUCUGAUACUGGAUGGCUAGAGGUUGGGAGAGGGAUGCGGAAUUCCAGGUGUAGCGGUGAAAUGCGUAGAUAUCUGGAGGAACACCGGUGGCGAAGGCGGCAUCCUGGACCAAUUCUGACGCUGAGGAGCGAAAGCCAGGGGAGCAAACGGG
rnacentral:rRNA from 1 species